rnacentral:rRNA from 1 species
AGAGUUUGAUCCUGGCUCAGGACGAACGCUGGCGGUGUGCUUAACACAUGCAAGUCGAACGGUAAGGCCCUUUCGGGGGUACACGAGUGGCGAACGGGUGAGUAACACGUGAGUAACCUGCCCUCAUCUCUGGGAUAACAGUCGGAAACGGUUGCUAAUACUGGAUAUGAGCUUGCAAGGCAUCUUGUGGGUUGGAAAGAUUUUUUGGUUGGGGAUGGACUCGCGGCCUAUCAGCUUGUUGGUGAGGUAGUGGCUCACCAAGGCUUCGACGGGUAGCCGGCCUGAGAGGGCGACCGGCCACAUUGGGACUGAGAUACGGCCCAAACUCCUACGGGAGGCAGCAGUGGGGAAUAUUGCACAAUGGACGGAAGUCUGAUGCAGCAACGCCGCGUGCGGGAUGACGGCCUUCGGGUUGUAAACCGCUUUCAAUUGUGACGAAGCUUUUUGUGACGGUAGCAGUAGAAGAAGCACCGGCUAACUACGUGCCAGCAGCCGCGGUGAUACGUAGGGUGCGAGCGUUGUCCGGAUUUAUUGGGCGUAAAGAGCUUGUAGGCGGUUUGUCGCGUCGGGAGUGAAAACUUGGGGCUUAACCCUGAGCUUGCUUUCGAUACGGGCUGACUUGAGGGAGGUAGGGGAGAAUGGAAUUCCUGGUGGAGCGGUGGAAUGCGCAGAUAUCAGGAGGAACACCGGUGGCGAAGGCGGUUCUCUGGACCUUUCCUGACGCUGAGAAGCGAAAGCGUGGGGAGCGAACAGGCUUAGAUACCCUGGUAGUCCACGCCGUAAACGGUGGGUACUAGGUGUGGGGGACAUUCCACGUUCUCCGUGCCGUAGCUAACGCAUUAAGUACCCCGCCUGGGGAGUACGGCCGCAAGGCUAAAACUCAAAGGAAUUGACGGGGCCCCGCACAAGCGGCGGAGCAUGCGGAUUAAUUCGAUGCAACGCGAAGAACCUUA